UGACACAGGGACCCUUUGUCACCCACACUUCUCCCAUCAAACAGCAUAUUCAUGGAGUCUUGGAGGAUGAUGCAUCUUUUGUGGAAACCCUGGGGACGAGGGAUGAGGCCAGUGAGCUGGUCAUCAGGGUCCUCGCUGAAGGCCAUGGACAAUUUGGCUUCUACCAUCCUCUCUACACUCAGCUGGUCACCAUGGCAAAGAAUGGGAAAUUUCUGAAUAUUGAUGGAUGAUGUCCUCGACCUGUAUGUCACUGAACUGUGGGAUAUAUUUACACAGUAUAGUCUUUACAACAUGCUCCAUCCUGCACCUCAAUAACUGCCAAUCCCCAGCAGAUGCCCAUCAAGAUGGCGAAAAGAGAUGCGGUUUUUGGCAGCAGAGCACAAUGCCCAAAGCAUCAUUUUGUUUUCUUGCCGGAGGUGGUGUCGGCUAAUACUAAGCUUUUGGACGUUGUCCCAGCAAAUGCUAUAUCCAGGGUCUAAAAUA